GGGGAUUCGUGGAAGUGGAGCGGAAGUCGACCGCUUAAGCUGUUGAGAAGAGUGUGAAGAGAAAGGGGCAUCGUUUGCGGCCUCGGCGUCUGUCAGCAGGCGUAGGCGGGACCACCGUCGCCACCUGUCUGGAAGACUCGAGGGGCCUCCGCACUCCCUCGCUCCGCUUCCACCGACGGCAACAAACCUAAUCUUAUACUUUCCUUUAGUAACCACGUUAAAAAAUAAAUAUAUAUUUUAAUAUGUUAAACUUAAUGUAGUAUAGCCACAAUAUCAUUUCAACAUGUGAUCGGUAUUAAAAUAAACACGAACCUGAGGUAUC